CAGCCGCCGCGGUAAUACGGAGGGGGCUAGCGUUGUUCGGAAUUACUGGGCGUAAAGCGCACGUAGGCGGACUGGAAAGUCAGAGGUGAAAUCCCAGGGCUCAACCUUGGAACUGCCUUUGAAACUAUCAGUCUGGAGUUCGAGAGAGGUGAGUGGAAUUCCGAGUGUAGAGGUGAAAUGCGUAGAUAUUCGGAAGAACACCAGUGGCGAAGGCGGCUCACUGGACGCGUAUUGACGCUGAGGUGCGAAAGCGUGGGGAGCAAACAGGAUUAGAUACCCGUGUAGUCCCUGUCUCUUAUAC
rnacentral:rRNA from 1 species